rnacentral:rRNA from 1 species
UGCCAGCAGCCGCGGUAAUACAGAGGGUGCAAACGUUGUUCGGAAUCACUGGGCAUAAAGCGCACGUAGGCGGCGUGUCGAGUGCGAAGUGAAAGCCCACGGCUCAACCGUGGAAUUGCUUCGCAUACUGGCAUGCUAGAGGACGGAAGAGGAGAGCGGAACUCUUGGAGGAGCGGUGAAAUGCGUAGAUAUCAAGAGGAACACCGAAGGCGAAGGCAGCUCUCUGGUCCGUUUCUGACGCUGAGGUGCGAAAGCCAGGGUAGCGAACGGGAUUAGAUA